UACGGAGGGUGCAAGCGUUAUCCGGAUUCACUGGGUUUAAAGGGUGCGUAGGCGGGCAGGUAAGUCCGUGGUGAAAUCUCUGAGCUUAACUCAGAACUGCCAUGGAUACUAUUUGUCUUGAAUAUUGUGGAGGUAAGCGGAAUAUGUCAUGUAGCGGUGAAAUGCUUAGAUAUGACAUAGAACACCAACUCGCGAAGGCAGCUUACUACACAGUUAUUGACGCUGAGGCACGAAAGCGUGGGGAUCAAACAGG
rnacentral:rRNA from 1 species